rnacentral:rRNA from 1 species
GACGAACCGUGCGAACGUUGUCCGGAAUCACUGGGCUUAAAGGGCGCGUAGGCGGGCUAGCAAGUCAAGGGUGAAAUCCCACGGCUCAACCGUGGAAGUGCCUUUGAUACUGCUGGUCUUGAGGGAGGUAGGGGCGUGCGGAACUUCCGGUGGAGCGGUGAAAUGCGCAGAUAUCGGGAGGAACACCUAUGGCGAAGGCAGCUCGCUGGGACGUUACUGACGCUGAGACGCGAAAGCGUGGGGAGCAAACAGG